CAAGUAAAACGAAGAACGCUUCGACGAAACACUUUUAAAAAUGUUAGGAAUUUUUUUAUUUUCUUGCUGUGUUGCACUUCUCUAUUGGAUACACAAAUAUUAUCAUACGUUUUGGAAACAUUUGAAUAAGUUUCCAGGACCACUCGCAAUUCUGCCACUUGGAAACUUUCUUCAAAUGACUUUAAGCAUGGAGAAAAAUUUCAAAACAAUGCUUGGAUAUUGUCGACAAUACAAAUACAAUGAUUUUCGAUUUUAUGGUGGCUUGAGUCCAUAUCUUUUAAUUCUAAAACCAGAGAGCAUGGAACAUAUAUUGACUAAUGUUGAGAUCAGUAGUAAAGAAGGUACGUACAAGUUACUUCGACCAUGGCUAGGAAAUGGAAUCGUUGUGGCCAAUGGCAGUUACUGGCAUCAGCGUCGAAAAAUGUUAACACCAUUUUUCCAUUUCGAUAUUAUCAAACAGUAUUUGCCUAUUAUCAAUAACGUAGGAGAUCGUUUCAUAACGCAUUUGAAGAAAUAUUCCCAAACAUUUGAAGUAUUCGAUAUGCAAAAUUUAGGACAACGUGUCACCAUUGAUAUGCUAAGCGAGACCGCAAUGGGAAUUAAACUAAAUGCAUUAGAUAGUAAUACUUCUUCUAUAUGUGACAAAAUACACGCUUUGGGAGAGCUUUUCCAACGGCGCCGAUUUAUCUUGCUUUAUAAUAUACCUAUGUGUUAUGAAUAUACAGCUGACUACAAAAAACAACAACUUUACAUUAAAGAGAUAAAAGUUUUCAUUAAAAAUUAGAUGAUAUCAUCUAUGAUGACAACAUUUCCACAUCUCAAUAUCAUCUAUAAUGAUAUCAUCAAAUCCUCUUAAUAACUGCGAUUUACUCUUUUUAUAAGUCGCGUUUUAAUGGUUUAAUGGUUUAAUGGUUUUCAUAACCAUUGCUUCCAUUAACAAAAAGCAAUGUUGUUUUUCUUACAAAAGGUAUAUAAUUAGCUCUACAAUUAACCGACAAGCGUAUAAGUGAAACUUUUAUAGGAAAUCAACGUUCAAACAGAAUUCAAAAAAUGUGGAACAAAUAGCAUAUAAACAUCUAAAUCGGUUCUAUAAGACUGUAUUUGAAGCAAAUGAAACGCUUGUCUACAAAAAUAUAAAUUUAAUCAUUAAACUAAUGUUGCUCUCCUGCGUUAAGUUUCCCUUCUAGUGCAUCUUUUCAAGGCCUCUAAAUUCUUCAUAUGAUUUAAAAUAAUAUAAUCAGACUUCAAGAAAACCAUGCUUCUUUGUCAUUUAGACACUAAGAUGAAAUUAGAUCAAAAUACAUAAGCCUUAUUAUUUUCUAUUGCUUUGAGUAUAAACUCAGUUAUAGACUCUUAAGAUUAUUUUUAUUUUAAUUCUUAGCCUAAAUGAUAAGAAAAAUAG